rnacentral:lncRNA from 1 species
GUGAUUGUCAGAAAGAGCAAGUGCAAGUGACUGAGUGUGCGCAUGUAUUUACUUUGGGUACUGCCCAUCUUUCUUACUGAAACCGUGAAACUCACCUCAAUUCACAAUCCCUAAUGCAUAUUAGUCUAUAUCAAGGGCAAGUUCAAGGUUGAAGAAAGAUUUCGAAGAACCUUCAGUGACGCGAAAGUUUCAUCUUAUAAAUUUGAUUUAAUUAUGUUAUAGCGAUAUAAUAGAAAGAAUUUUGUAAAGCUCAUGAUUUAUAAUUCUAUAUAGAGAAUGAUUGAAUCUUACGUUUUUUCUUAUUGUUGCAUAAAAUUACCAAAUUAUGUGCAUGGAAUAGCGUUCAUUUAUCAAUACAGAAAAUGAAUCGUUACAUUAACACCAAAUAAGUACGAUUCAUCUGAGUUCGAAUAAUUCUAUGAUUUAGUACAUUUAACAU